UGAGGAAUAUUGGUCAAUGGGUGCAAACCUGAACCAGCCAUGCCGCGUGAAGGAUGAAGGUCCUAUGGAUUGUAAACUUCUUUUAUACGGGAAAAAACCCUUCGACGUGUCGGAGGCUGAUUGUACCGUAAGAAUAAGGAUCGGCUAACUCCGUGCCAGCAGCCGCGGUAAUACGGAGGAUCCAAGCGUUAUCCGGAUUCACUGGGUUUAAAGGGUGUGUAGGCGGGAUAUUAAGUCAGUGGUGAAAUCCUACAGCUUAACUGUAGAACUGCCAUUGAAACUGAUAUUCUUGAAUGUAGUUGAGGUAGGCGGAAUGUGUGGUGUAGCGGUGAAAUGCUUAGAUAUCACACAGAACACCGAUUGCGAAGGCAGCUUGCUAAGCUAUGAUUGACGCUGAGACACGAAAGCGUGGGGAUCAAACAGG
rnacentral:rRNA from 1 species